rnacentral:rRNA from 1 species
UACGUAGGGUGCAAGCGUUGUCCGGAAUUAUUGGGCGUAAAGAGCUCGUAGGCGGUCUGUCGCGUCUGCUGUGAAAACUCAGGGCUUAACCCUGAGCUUGCAGUGGGUACGGGCAGACUAGAGUGCGGUAGGGGAGACUGGAAUUCCUGGUGUAGCGGUGAAAUGCGCAGAUAUCAGGAGGAACACCGGUGGCGAAGGCGGGUCUCUGGGCCGUAACUGACACUGAGGAACGAAAGCCAGGGGAGCGAAUGGG